GAUGAACGCUAGCGGAAGGCUUAAUACAUGCAAGUCGAGCGGUAGGUGGCUUCGGCCAUUGAGAGCGGCGCACGGGUGAGUAACGCGUACAUGACCUGCCUGUCAGAAGGGGAUAGCCCUGGGAAACUGGGAUUAAUACCCUAUGGUAUUGAUAUUAUGAAUGAUAUCAAUUAAAGUUGAGGCGCUGACAGAUGGAUGUGCGUCUGAUUAGCUAGUUGGUAGGGUAACGGCCUACCAAGGCGACGAUCAGUAGGGGGCGUGAGAGCGUGGUCCCCCACACGGGUACUGAGACACGGACCCGACUCCUACGGGAGGCAGCAGUAAGGAAUAUUGGUCAAUGCCCGCAAGGGUGAACCAGCCAUUCCGCGUGGAGGAUGAAGGCCCUAUGGGUUGUAAACUUCUUUUAGAUGGGAAGAAAAUGCUAGAUGUAUCUGGUACUGACGGUACCAUCAGAAUAAGCACCGGCUAACUCCGUGCCAGCAGCCGCGGUAAAGUA
rnacentral:rRNA from 1 species